UUUCUCUGGGAAAUGCUGCAUGGACUAGCCCUUGUGCUUGUGGGGAAGACAGUGGGUCGGGUGUGGGGAGACCUGGGGUCUAGCCCAAAACUGCUGCUUGGGCUGUGUGACCCUGGGCCGGUCCUUUCCCCUGUCCAGGGGUCAGCCGUCCUUGCCAGAAAAUGAGGGGGCAGACUAGAUCUCUGCGUCUCCCAGCUCUGCUACUCAAGAGGUCGAUGAUUCUGUUCUCAAAUUGACACCUUCAACAAGGGGGCACUUUGUUAAAGUUGCAUGUCCUCAGUCACACGGCAAGCAAGUGAACAUGCUCUGUCCCCAGACUGAAAGACAGUGGAUUUUUGAUGAGCGUUCUAUUUUUUUCUAGAUCAGACACGUUAAAGGCUAACAAAUGAGGAAUUCUAGAACUUGCAAUUCAUUCUAGCACAAAUGCUGGGCCUCUGAGGAUCAGCUACAAGGUACAGUUGGUUGAUUGUGAAUCUCCCCAUAUCUGGGCUCACUGAUAAAUUCCUGAACAUGCAAAUCCAGGGGCAUUCUCAGUCUCUUAGGUGUACAACAGAUUUAUCCAAUCUAGUGUGAAAUUACCACCACGAUACGUCUAUUGAAGAUCCAUCACCACGCAUGGCCAUAAGAUGUUUUUCAUAGAUCAACUGUUGAUGCCAGAUGCCUAGAACCUUGGCUGUUGCACGAGAGGAAAGAAAGCAUUUGGACCCAGA